GACGAACGCUGGCGGCGUGCUUAACACAUGCAAGUCGAACGAAGAGCGAUGGAAGCUUGCUUCUAUCAAUCUUAGUGGCGAACGGGUGAGUAACGCGUAAUCAACCUGCCCUUCAGAAGGGGACAACAGUUGGAAACGACUGCUAAUACCGCAUACGAUCUAAACUCGGCAUCGAGGAUAGAUGAAAGGUGGCCUCUACAUGUAAGCUAUCACUGAAGGAGGGGAUUGCGUCUGAUUAGCUAGUUGGAGGGGUAACGGCCCACCAAGGCGAUGAUCAGUAGCCGGUCUGAGAGGAUGAACGGCCACAUUGGGACUGAGACACGGCCCAGACUCCUACGGGAGGCAGCAGUGGGGAAUCUUCCGCAAUGGACGAAAGUCUGACGGAGCAACGCCGCGUGAGUGAUGACGGCCUUCGGGUUGUAAAGCUCUGUUAAUCGGGACGAAAGGCCUUCUUGCGAAUAGUGAGAAGGAUUGACGGUACCGGAAUAGAAAGCCACGGCUAACUACGUG
rnacentral:rRNA from 1 species